rnacentral:rRNA from 1 species
AAAUUUUGACCUCAAAUCAGGUAAGGAUACCCGCUGAACUUAAGCAUAUCAAUAAGCGGAGGAAAAGAAACCAACAGGGAUUGCCUUAGUAACGGCGAGUGAAGCGGCAAAAGCUCAAAUUUGAAAUCUAGUGCCUUUGGUACUCGAGUUGUAAUUUGAAGAAUUUUUCUCCGAACAGUCCUUUAUCUAUGUUCCUUGGAACAGGACGUCAUAGAGGGUGAGAAUCCCGUGUGAUUUUGGAUACUGUUCAUUGUGAGAUUUAUUCGAAGAGUCGAGUUGUUUGGGAAUGCAGCUCUAAGUGGGUGGUAAGUUCCAUCUAAAGCUAAAUAUUGGCGAGAGACCGAUAGCGAACAAGUACAGUGAUGGAAAGAUGAAAAGAACUCUGAAGAGAGGGUGAAAAAGUACGUGAAAUUGCUGAAAGGGAAGGGCUUUAGGUCAGACUUGGUGUUUAAUACUCAGUUCUCCUUGUGGGAGCUGCUCUUGUUUUUCACUGGGCCAAUAUCAGUUUUGGCGGUAGAGCACCUCUGGAAAUGUAGCUGCCUUCGGGUAGUGUUAUAGUCUGGGGACGAUCUACUGCUGGGACUGAGGUCUGCGCAUUUUGCUAGGAUAUUGGCAUAAUGACCUUAAGCCGCCCGUCUUGAAACACGGACCAAGGAGUCUAACGUCUAUGCGAGUGUU